rnacentral:rRNA from 1 species
UGAGGAAUAUUGGUCAAUGGACGCAAGUCUGAACCAGCCAAGUAGCGUGCAGGAUGACGGCCCUAUGGGUUGUAAACUGCUUUUAUAUGGGGAUAAAGUGGGGAACGUGUUCCCUUUUGCAGGUACCAUAUGAAUAAGGACCGGCUAAUUCCGUGCCAGCAGCCGCGGUAAUACGGAAGGUUCGGGCGUUAUCCGGAUUUAUUGGGUUUAAAGGGAGCGUAGGCCGUUUGGUAAGCGUGUUGUGAAAUGGAGGAGCUCAACUUCUAGAUUGCAGCGGGAACUGUAAGACUGGAGUGCGCACAACGUAGGCGGAAUUCAUGGUGUAGCGGUGAAAUGCUUAGAUAUCAUGAAGAACUCCGAUUGCGAAGGCAGCUUACGGGAGCGCAACUGACGCUGAAGCUCGAAGGUGCGGGUAUCGAACAGG